rnacentral:rRNA from 1 species
AUUGAACGCUGGCGGCAGGCUUAACACAUGCAAGUCGAGCGGAGAUGAGGUGCUUGCACCUUAUCUUAGCGGCGGACGGGUGAGUAAUGCUUAGGAAUCUGCCUAUUAGUGGGGGACAACAUUCCGAAAGGAAUGCUAAUACCGCAUACGUCCUACGGGAGAAAGCAGGGGAUCUUCGGACCUUGCGCUAAUAGAUGAGCCUAAGUCGGAUUAGCUAGUCGGUGGGGUAAAGGCCUACCAAGGCGACGAUCUGUAGCGGGUCUGAGAGGAUGAUCCGCCACACUGGGACUGAGACACGGCCCUGACUCCUACGGGAGGCAGCAGUGGGGAAUAUUGGACAAUGGGGGGAACCCUGAUCCAGCCAUGCCGCGUGUGUGAAGAAGGCCUUAUGGUUGUAAAGCACUUUAAGCGAGGAGGAGGCUACUGAGACUAAUACUCUUGGAUAGUGGACGUUACUCGCAGAAUAAGCACCGGCUAACUCUGUGCCAGCAGCCGCCGUAACAC